rnacentral:rRNA from 1 species
UUUUCCAGGCAAAUCCGGAAAAUCAAGGCUGAGGCGUGAUGACGAGGCACUACGGUGCUGAAGCAACAAAUGCCCUGCUUCCAGGAAAAGCCUCUAAGCAUCAGGUAACAUCAAAUCGUACCCCAAACCGACACAGGUGGUCAGGUAGAGAAUACCAAGGCGCUUGAGAGAACUCGGGUGAAGGAACUAGGCAAAAUGGUGCCGUAACUUCGGGAGAAGGCACGCUGAUAUGUAGGUGAAGUCCCUCGCGGAUGGAGCUGAAAUCAGUCGAAGAUACCAGCUGGCUGCAACUGUUUAUUAAAAACACAGCACUGUGCAAACACGAAAGUGGACGUAUACGGUGUGACGCCUGCCCGGUGCCGGAAGGUUAAUUGAUGGGGUCAGCGCAAGCGAAGCUCUUGAUCGAAGCCCCGGUAAACGGCGGCCGUAACUAUAACGGUCCUAAGGUAGCGAAAUUCCUUGUCGGGUAAGUUCCGACCUGCACGAAUGGCGUAAUGAUGGCCAGGCUGUCUCCACCCGAGACUCAGUGAAAUUGAACUCGCUGUGAAGAUGCAGUGUACCCGCGGCAAGACGGAAAGACCCCGUGAACCUUUACUAUAGCUUGACACUGAACAUUGAGCCUUGAUGUGUAGGAUAGGUGGGAGGCUUAGAAGUGUGGACGCCAGUCUGCAUGGAGCCGACCUUGAAAUACCACCCUUUAAUGUUUGAUGUUCUAACGUUGACCCGUAAUCCGGGUUGCGGACAGUGUCUGGUGGGUAGUUUGACUGGGGCGGUCUCCUCCUAAAGAGUAACGGAGGAGCACGAAGGUUGGCUAAUCCUGGUCGGACAUCAGGAGGUUAGUGCAAUGGCAUAAGCCAGCUUGACUGCGAGCGUGACGGCGCGAGCAGGUGCGAAAGCAGGUCAUAGUGAUCCGGUGGUUCUGAAUGGAAGGGCCAUCGCUCAACGGAUAAAAGGUACUCCGGGGAUAACAGGCUGAUACCGCCCAAGAGUUCAUAUCGACGGCGGUGUUUGGCACCUCGAUGUCGGCUCAUCACAUCCUGGGGCUGAAGUAGGUCCCAAGGGUAUGGCUGUUCGCCAUUUAAAGUGGUACGCGAGCUGGGUUUAGAACGUCGUGAGACAGUUCGGUCCCUAUCUGCCGUGGGCGCUGGAGAACUGAGGGGGGCUGCUCCUAGUACGAGAGGACCGGAGUGGACGCAUCACUGGUGUUCGGGUUGUCAUGCCAAUGGCACUGCCCGGUAGCUAAAUGCGGAAGAGAUAAGUGCUGAAAGCAUCUAAGCACGAAACUUGCC